AUGCUAUCUUUGGCAGCACACAUACUAAAAUUGGAAUGACACACAGAAGACAUCAUGGCCCCUGCCCAGGGAUGACAAGCAAAUGCAUGAAGUGGUCCAUGGUUUU
ensembl:snRNA U6 U6 spliceosomal RNA